CAACGCGCAGCCGCGGAAACCGGGUCAUCAGCGAUUUUCCAGUUCUAGUAUUUCUUUGAACAUGGCAGACAGCUUGCCCUUCAGAUGGUAUAAGAGGCCCAAAGCCCGUCAAUUUACUUCUCAUUUUUCCGGUGCAUAAACCACCUAAUAUGAGUGCUUUGAAGAGCACCUGUUGUGAGGGAAAGGGAAGAUACACUGACCAGACCAGGACUCGAACCCUGGACCUUGUGCAGAUGUCUAGAUGGACACUCACCAUUUGAACUACCUGGUCACUGCCAUUCAGUCCAGUUCAGUUCUGCUACAUUCCUUUCUCCUUCAACAAAAUCUUCAACACAUUGACCCAAAACCACAUCUAUGGGUAUUUAGUUCAGGCCACCAGAUGUAACAGAAGAGGAGAAAUCAAUAACCAGACUGGGAUUUGAACCCGGGACCUCAGAUCUCUAGACUCUAACCAUUUGUGCUACCUGGCCACUGACACUCAGCCCAUUCCAGUUCCACUACAUUGUGUAUAUAU